rnacentral:lncRNA from 1 species
GCUCUACCGAUCUGCGAUGGCUGGACGUUCGCGGAGGAGCGCGAGACCCCU